UUUAUUUGAAAUGCGCUAUGGACAGCUACAGAACUGUUAGGAUUGACUCAUUACAGAUUAGGAAGACCGGAACAGGCCCAGGCAAGCGUCUCCUCUUGGCCCCUCAGCAAACUGCUACGGGAGCUCUAACCACUGACUUUCCAGAUGUUUGUUCAGACUCCAGAGGAUUAAGAGUCCAGGCACCGCCACUGUCUUGACGUCCACAGGAAAAACUCAGCUGUGGGUUUUGAAGGACCGACACCUACCAGAGUCAGAGGCUGGAGUUGAGGUAACCUCUGACUCAGAUAUUUGGGUGUUUCCAGCUCCAUUUGCUAUACAACUCUGAUUUAUUCACCAACCAACCUGUAUAAAAAUGAGCAGAGG